CAAUAGCGUAUAUUUGAGUUGCUGCAGUUAAAAAGCUCGUAGUUGGAUUUCGGGUAGGAAUGGCCGGUCCGCCGUUUCGGUGUGCACUUGCUACGCCCACCUUGCUGCCGGGGACGUGCUCUUGAGUUCACGCUCGGGACACGGAGUCGGCGAGGUUACUUUGAGUAAAUUAGAGUGUUCAAAGCAGGCCUACGCUCUGAAUACAUUAGCAUGGAAUAACACGAUAGGACUCUGGCCUAUCUUGUUGGUCUGUAGGACCGGAGUAAUGAUUAAGAGGGACAGUCGGGGGCAUUCGUAUUUCAUUGUCAGAGGUGAAAUUCUUGGAUUUAUGAAAGACGAACUACUGCGAAAGCAUUUGCCAAGGAUGUUUUCAUUAA
rnacentral:rRNA from 1 species